rnacentral:rRNA from 1 species
CACGCCCUAAACGAUGUCAACUAGUUGUCGGGGAUUCAUUUCCUUGGUAACGCAGCUAACGCGUGAAGUUGACCGCCUGGGGAGUNACGCGAAAAACCUUACCUACGCUUGACAUGCCAGGAACCUUCCAGAGAUGGAUGGGUGCCCGAAAGGGAGCCUGGACACAGGUGC